CUGAAUAAUGAGGAGCCUCACACACAAGGAAGACAAUCUGCUGAACAGCCAACACAAAGAAGUUUUGGAGUCUAUCAAGCACCAGAGGGUGCACAAGAGUUUGCGAUGAGACACUGAGACUGAGACAGGAAGGUCCAGUUUGAGGUUCACUGCGGAGAUGCGAUGGACCAAAGAGAGGCUUGGAUGACAUCAUCAGUGCAGCAGAAUGGACGAAUGCUUCUGACAAGGACACAGAGAGACUCUCCUGAGGUCUGAGACAGAUGAGCUUCUGUUAUAAAUACAGAGAAGAGAAGGUCUCCGUUAAGAGGGACGUAUGAUGGGUGUCGUGUAUGGAUUCAUAUUCAUUUACAGCAUAAAAGACUGUAGGAUUUUCUUCCGUUCAUUCUCUCCAGGUCUUCAUCCAUGAACACUUGACACAGUGGUUAAUUAGAUUUUUAACCGCUCUUAACCAUCUAGUCAUAAAUCAUAACUUAACGAGUCUGAAUGACACAGAACACCAAUAAGCCUCGACAGCGUCGUAAAUCACAGACCGAAAACACUUGAAUUGAGUUACUUGCCAAAAAAGAACAAACAUCGAAUGUUAAACAUAAUGGGUGACUAAUGAUGAAUAUAUCAUGUGUCAUGCGUAUUCAUCAGUAAAUGUGGGUUACUAGUCUCUAUUAAAGUACUUUAUAUCCUUACUAGGUGAAGUCAACAUGAAAUGAAAACUUGGUUUUAUUGCAGGGCACAGUAUUCAAAAUCAAAACACCUUUCUAUUUCAGCUGACGUCUGUAGAUUUUUAAGAAAUAAUAAUUGACCCAUCCGUCAUCAUUUACUGUGACACUCACAUCUGCCAGAUGCUUUCAUCUGAAUAAACUUAUACGCUGCAUCUCA